UACAGAGGGUGCAAGCGUUAAUCGGAAUUACUGGGCGUAAAGCGUGCGUAGACGGUUAUUUAAGUCAGGUGUGAAAUCCCUCGGCUUAACCGGGGAACUGCGUCUGAUACUGGAUGGCUUGAGUUCGGGAGAGGGAUGCGGAAUUCCAGGUGUAGCGGUGAAAUGCGUAGAUAUCUGGAGGAACACCGGUGGCGAAGGCGGCAUCCUGGACCGACACUGACGCUGAGGAGCGAAAGCCAGGGGAGCAAACGGG
rnacentral:rRNA from 1 species